ensembl:lncRNA
GGACAGCGGUGGCAGACGUGGUGCUGACAUUGGGACAGCGGUGGCAGACGUGGUGCUGACAUUGGGACAGUGGUGGCAGCAAGAGCAGCAGGACUGGCACAGGACAAGGCACCAUGGCCCUUGCUCUGCGCCUCCUCCUCCUGCUGCUCCUGGCCGUGGCCCUGCCUGCCAGGGCUGCCCAGGCUGCUCCAGUGCAAGGGCAGGGAGCAGAUUUGGAUCGCGACUUCGAUUAUUUGCAAGUGCUGGUGAAUGACACUUUAAAGAUCUUGGAGAAUGCUGGAGCUGAACCUGUUGGUGAAGGUGGUGCAGCUUCCCAACCCACGUUCAGGAUGGAGGCUCUGGGAGAUGCUGAGGGUGUGGCUGCAGGGAGGACUUCUCCAGCUCCUUUGCUGGUUACUGCCCGCAAGCCCAGCACCCAUCACAGGGGUCCUCCAACAGGAAAGGACAAGGCUACAGGACACAAGAAACCCCAUGAGACAUCUGAAAAUAUGAGGCAAAUGCUGAAGGAAAUGCUGCAGGCAGGACAAGAAGUAGAUGGAGAAGCUGUGCUGAAGGCUGACUUUCCCAGAGGAAGCAGUGGCUCAUUGGCAGCCUCUGCUGCAGGAAGGGAGACGAUGCCAGGCACAGUCACAGGAGAUGAGGCAGCUGGGAAGGCUUCUCCAUUAGAUUGGCUGCAUAAAGUUGUGAAGCCUCCUGCAGGUGUGGCUGCAGAGAGGAUUUUUCCUGCUCCUUUGUUGAUUCUUACGCACAAGGCCGGCUCCCAUCACAGGGUUCCUACAAGAGGGAAGAACAAAGGCACAGGAAAGGAAAGACCCCGUGAGCCAAACAACAUCCUGAAUACAAUAGCGAUGGAGCUGCAGAAAGGGCAUGGGAUGGACAGAGACGCUCUAUGGAAGGCAGCAUUUCCUAAAGGAAGGGAGGCAAUGCCACGCACAGUCACAGGAGAUGCUGCUGGCCCCACAACAGCUGUUCCUGAUUCCCCAAAGGACAUCCGAAUUGGUUUCUAUCAGGGAACAGGCUGGUGGCUAGGGUUAAUGGCAGGCAUGCUUCUUCUAGUGCUUGUCUUUAUCUUAUGCUGUGUUUUAAUCUGGUGCUACUGGAAGAUAAAAGGCAGCGCCUCUGCAUCUUCACAAGACCAGACGAAGACUUCAGCCACGCAGAUCUGUGCCGGUCAUCAGCCAUCCCCGAGCCAGUUUCCAACAUCCCUUCCACAGCUGCAAUACCCACUUUACUGCUGGGGACAUGCUGCCACCCCCCAUAACAGAACCCUCUGUCCCCAAAGGUGCUGGCCCUGGCGUCCAGCCAGGACAGGAGGUGCAGCCCAGGGUAGGGCCUGACUCCAGCAGCAUCUCUGGGCUUCAGCUCUGGUCCCUGGUGCUCCCACCAGCACUGACAGAGCUGCUUGUCUGUGCACAGCCAGUGCUGGGCAGGCAGCAGUAGGGCAUCAGGCUCCUGAGACCAGCAGCUACUGUGUUUAGUUUUCAUUUUGCAAGAUUUAGGAUUAUUUUUCAUAGAAAAUUCUUCAAAUAUUUUGUCCCUUUUCCCACAAAAGUUCUAUAUUUUUCAAAGUAGUUUUAGUAUUCAGAAAAACUUAGAAUAUUUUUACACUUCUAGAAUAAAAAUUAAAAUUGCA